CAAAACUACCGCUCCAAAACUUCUAUGGAAAAUCGCAUCUUCUUUUCUCUGAAGAAUUUACAUGGGGCUGAUUUUCCUGUUCUUGUUCUCAGUUAACAGCCUCAGUUUUGUUUUCCUCCAAGACAUUCCCUCUCCAGCCUUGGGAGUAACACCUCUGCUUGCACCCCAGCGCUCUGCCACUUGUAUCCACUGCUUUGCAAGUUGCUGGGGCCCUUUUAAAACACCUGAAGGUGCAGUGCCUUUUAAAAGCCAGGAACAAUGUAGCCAUCUGACCUCAUGGAUCUGCUUUCUAGGUGUCCUGAACCUGUGCAUGUUUGAUGUUUGGUAAGACCUGGGCGGUGGGGGGGUGGGUGGGGGUGGUGGUGACAGCUUGACAGCUGACAUCAGCACAGGACGCAAGAGCGGGCUCUGCCCUCACAGGGAGAGGAGCACAGGGACCUUUUUACUCACAGCUCAGAGCUUAGUUUCUCCCUGUAGCUUUGUCUGAGCAACCUUCACAAGCUCCGUGAGAGGAACCGGACGUGGGGCAUCUAGCAGAAACUAGUCCAUGACGCCUGUCUUCAGGGAGGCUGAGUGGCCUGCCUCUGGAACAAUGAUAACAGCCACCCCAGAUGCAGCGUUGGCUCUUCACUGACUACGCUAACUGUCAUUAUCCAUAUAAAUACUAGGCAGAUGGCUACACUGACAGAGACAUAUUACUGGCUGCGAUGUGCCUAAGACUGUCAAGAAUGCAACUGGUAAGAGAUGGGGAAGUACAAACCACCAAAGAUGCCAUCUGCCUGCGAGAAGCAUGUGGUCCCAUGAGAGUCGAGGUGACAGUGAGGAAGCCAGGAGACUUCGGAGCCUGCCUGGCUGCAUUUCUAACAGGUGGCCAGGCCCCAGCUGCUGGGAUACCCAAAGGACCCAGGUCUGUGUGGGCUGUAGGGGCCCCGUGCACAGUGUGGCUGCCUGCCUGACACGAGUUCACAAGGACCCUGCCAUGGAUGCUGAUCAUGUUGGCUGUCUAGCUUCAGAACUUUCUCCCUAUGUUUGUGCAAACAUUGGUGAGAGGCAGCAAAUGCCAGGUGCUUGUGCACGGGCACACCUCCAGCUGCCAGCUCCUGAGGUGUGCUGCCCGAGGGCGGCCCCAGAGCACACUGUGCAAAGGCAGGACACAGGGCGAGCAGGGAGUCCUGGGGAACGCACACUUUGCCUCCCACGCAGCAGCCCUCAACCAACUGUCCAGAGUGGCCGGGUAACUCGCUUGCCUGUCAGCAGCAUAGCUCUGAGACGCCGGGUCCACACUGUCUCCCAGAACUCCCCAAGCUCUAGUUACUCACAAGGGUAACUCACUUGAUAACACACCCUUUUUGCUUCACUCCCUCCCUGUCUGGUUUUCCCAUUCCCUUACCAAGGUUUCCUUGGAUCAUCUCCCAAAUAAACCACUUGCACUCAAAUCCUUGUUUUGGGGCUGCUUCUGGGGGAUCCCCACCUGGACUUGGACUCCCAGCCCUUGGCAACCAGGGCAUACAACUUAAGUCCAUGUGACCUCAAUGCUUCCACCUGAGACUUUUACCCUGGAGCAAAUGAAGAGUUGGGGGAAAUCUAGAAUCCCCCGAGGCCACCAGUGAGGGCCUCCCAUGUUGUGUCCAGCAAGGUACCUUGGCAGCACUGGUGCUGUCUGCAGACCGCGGGCAGCCAUGGGGGCAGUGGUGAUUUCCUCCCAGGACUGUUCCCAGGACACAACCUUGUGAUCCACCUGAUAU
ensembl:lncRNA